AGGUUGUCUUUUUGUUUUACUUGUGGUUUCCUUUGCCGUGCAAAAACUUUGAAACUUACUUAGGUCCCAUUUGUUUAUUUUUGCUUUUAUUUCCUUUACUCUAAAAGACAGAUCCAAAAAAAAAUAUUGCUGCAAUUCAUAUCAGAGUGUUCUGGCUAUGUUUUCCUCUAGGAGUUUUGUA